GUGCUCAAUUUGGGCACACAUAUAGUAAAAUUGGAACAAUACAAUAAUUAGCAUGGCCCCUGGGCAAGGAAAACAUGAAAAUUCGUGAAGCUUCCAUAAGAAAA